AGUAACGCGUGAGGAACCUGCCUCAAAGAGGGGGACAACAGUUGGAAACGACUGCUAAUACCGCAUAAGCCCACGGCUCGGCAUCGAGCAGAGGGAAAAGGAGCAAUCCGCUUUGAGAUGGCCUCGCGUCCGAUUAGCUAGUUGGUGAGGUAAUGACCCACCAAGGCGACGAUCGGUAGCCGGACUGAGAGGUUGAACGGCCACAUUGGGACUGAGACACGGCCCAG
rnacentral:rRNA from 1 species